AACGAACGCUGGCGGCAUGCCUAACACAUGCAAGUCGAACGAGACGUUCGGGUCUAGUGGCGCACGGGUGCGUAACGCGUGGGAACCUGCCCUUAGGUUCGGAAUAACUCCCCGAAAGGGGUGCUAAUACCGGAUAAUGUCUUCGGACCAAAGAUUUAUCGCCUUUGGAUGGGCCCGCGUUGGAUUAGCUAGUUGGUAGGGUAAAAGCCUACCAAGGCGACGAUCCAUAGCUGGUCUGAGAGGAUGAUCAGCCACACUGGGACUGAGACACGGCCCAGACUCCUACGGGAGGCAGCAGUGGGGAAUAUUGGACAAUGGGCGAAAGCCUGAUCCAGCAAUGCCGCGUGAGUGAUGAAGGCCUUAGGGUUGUAAAGCUCUUUUACCCGGGAUGAUAAUGACAGUACCGGGAGAAUAAGCGCCGGCUAACUCCGUG
rnacentral:rRNA from 1 species